AGAAACUGUAUCAUCUUGGGCUUUGUUGGACUCAAUCCAAAGAAUUUUAGUGGAAAUGAAGAAAGAAGAUUCACAGAGAACUAUGUGACUUCCCUAGGGAGGAGCUGGGAUCAGGAUGCAGCUCUGUUUAAGAAAUACUUACUGAAGCUCUGGACCCAUAAAAAUGAAGUGGAUUUUGAGAUUUUAUUGAUGUAAUGGAAGAGCAAGUAUUGCCCAUUGUUACUAUACCCAAAACAUUUCAGAAGUACAAGCAGAGAAAUAUGUUUCUAUCAUCAGAGUUUAAUAUGAAAUCAUGUUCUUCUUCUGUCAUACUGAAAAUUUGUCAUAGAUUUUAUCUGCAAUAAAAGCUAUGUCAAUGGUGCCACGUAAUACAUUUGUAAAGGUUAGAGAUAUUUUAACCCUCAUCUGUGACCAGAAUAAUAAUAGUAAGUAACCCAAUGAAACACCAAUGGCAGAUUGUUAAGAGUGUAAAAAUUGUCUGCACAUAUUAAUGCAAAACAGCAUAGGAAUCCACACAUUGUAAUGCACCGGGUGUCAUUUC